rnacentral:rRNA from 1 species
CCUUGCGCUGAUGGAUGAGCCGAAGUCGGAUUAGCUAGUUGGUAGGGUAACGGCCUACCAAGGCGACGAUCCGUAGCUGGUCUGAGAGGACGACCAGCCACACUGGGACUGAGACACGGCCCAGACUCCUACGGGAGGCAGCAGUGGGGAAUUUUGGACAAUGGGGGCAACCCUGAUCCAGCCAUUCCGCGUGAGUGAAGAAGGCCUUCGGGUUGUAAAGCUCUUUCAGCUGGAGUGAAACGGUGCGCUCUAACAUAGCGUGCUAAUGACGGUACCAGCAGAAGAAGCGCCGGCUAACUACGUGCCAGCAGCCGCGGUAAUACGUAGGGUGCGAGCGUUAAUCGGAAUUACUGGGCGUAAAGCGUGCGCAGGCGGAUUGUUAAGCAAGAUGUGAAAUCCCCGGGCUUAACCUGGGAAUGGCAUUUUGAACUGGCAGUCUAGAGUGCGUCAGAGGGGGGUGGAAUUCCACGUGUAGCAGUGAAAUGCGUAGAGAUGUGGAGGAACACCGAUGGCGAAGGCAGCCCCCCUGGGAUGACACUGACGCUCAUGUACGAAAGCGUGGGUAGCAAACAGGAUUAGAUACCCUGGUAGUCCACGCCCUAAACGAUGUCAACUGGUUGUUGGGGGAGUGAAAUCCCUUAGUAACGAAGCUAACGCGUGAAGUUGACCGCCUGGGGAGUACGGUCGCAAGAUUAAAACUCAAAGGAAUUGACGGGGACCCGCACAAGCGGUGGAUGAUGUGGAUUAAUUCGAUGCAACGCGAAAAACCUUACCUACCCUUGACAUGUCCGGAAUCCUGCAGAGAUGCGGGAGUGCCCGAAAGGGAAUCGGAACACAGGUGCUGCAUGGCUGUCGUCAGCUCGUGUCGUGAGAUGUUGGGUUAAGUCCCGCAACGAGCGCAACCCUUAUCAUUAGUUGCUACGCAAGGGCACUCUAAUGAGACUGCCGGUGACAAACCGGAGGAAGGUGGGGAUGACGUCAAGUCCUCAUGGCCCUUAUGGGUAGGGCUUCACACGUCAUACAAUGGUCGGUACAGAGGGUUGCCAAGCCGCGAGGUGGAGCCAAUCCCAGAAAGCCGAUCGUAGUCCGGAUUGUUCUCUGCAACUCGAGAGCAUGAAGUCGGAAUCGCUAGUAAUCGCGGAUCAGCAUGUCGCGGUGAAUACGUUCCCGGGUCUU